GUGGAUAACUGUGGUAAUUCUAGAGCUAAUACAUGCACCAAAGCUCCGACUUUAUGGAAGAGCGCAUCUAUUAGAUUAAAACCAAUCGGGCCUAGCCCGUCAAUUGGUGACUCUGAAUAGCUAUGGCUGAUCGCAUGGUCUCGUACCGGCGACGUGUCUAUCAAGUGUCUGCCUUAUCAACUUUCGAUGGUAGUUUAUGUGCCUACCAUGGUUGUAACGGGUAACGGAGAAUAAGGGUUCGACUCCGGAGAGGGAGCCUGAGAAACGGCUACCACAUCCAAGGAAGGCAGCAGGCGCGCAAAUUACCCACUCUCGGCAUGAGGAGGUAGUGACGAAAAAUAACGAGACCGUUCUCUUCGAGGCCGGUUAUCGGAAUGGGUACAAUUUAAACCAGUUAACGAGGAUCUAUGAGAGGGCAAGUCUGGUGCCAGCAGCCGCGGUAAUUCCAGCUCUCAAAGUGUAUAUCGUCAUUGCUGCGGUUAAAAAGCUCGUAGUUGGAUCUGCGCCUCAGGACCCGGUCCGUCCUUUGGACGAGAACUGGGAUCCUAGGCUAGUACUGUCGGUUUUCCCUGUGUUGCCUUGAUCGGUCGCGCAGGGUGGCCGGCGAGUUUACCUUGAAAAAAUUAGAGUGCUCAACGCGGGCUGACGCCUGAAUACUCGUGCAUGGAAUAAUGAAAUAGGAUCUCGGUUCUAUUUUGUUGGUUUUCUGAUCUGAGAUAAUGGUUAAGAGGGACGGACGGGGGCAUUCGUAUCGCUGCGUGAGAGGUGAAAUUCUUGGACCGUAGCGAGACGCCCGACUGCGAAAGCAUUUGCCAAGAAUGUCUUCAUUAAUCAAGAACGAAAGUCAGAGGUUCGAAGG
rnacentral:rRNA from 1 species